AUCUUGUGGCGCCGGCUGGGAUGGCGGCGCUGCGCAGCAGCCGCGUUAGCGCCCGGGAGAGCCGGCAGCAGCCGGGCCGGGCUGCACCGGGGAAAGGGAAGGGAACACGUCUGGCCGCAAAGCGAGUGCUUCCGCACUACACCCAUGCAUUUUUAAGGCUCAAUACUGGAAAACAGGAGAUAUGGAAUGCGUUUUUAUGGGGGAGGGUGGAAGUGAUGCUAACAGCGCAGCUCCUGGACAGCACAGUAACAGAGCUGAGGCCCUUGUUCCCCAGGCACUCUGGCUUCACCUGGAGUCAAAAUUCGGCUUCUACCCGCCCCAGAAAGCAGGAAAAUGCCCCAAGAACAAGGUGGGAAAUAGCAACAAAAUGAGCUACUGAGGGCUGAGCUGCGCAGAAAUAAGUAACCUCCAGUAAUCCAGAGGGUUUCUCAGGCUGAGCAGCAGCAGUUUCAGCAGGUUCUCCACGCAGCCCGGGCGUCUCGGGUUCCCGGGGACGCGUCCUCCCUGCAGCGGGGCUGUUGGUAACGGUGACUGACCCAUAUAAACCUGUGCCAAAGCCCAAGAGCUUUCUCCAUGGCCCGUCAGACACCCGCUAAGCGUCACCUCCCUUAAAAUACCCGUGCAAGGGUCAGUCUGAAAAAAAAUCGAUCAAAAUUACUCUGCUCUACUAGUGGUGUUUCCGCAAUUAUCUGCAACUCUACUUCGAUAAAUGCAGCAGGAGGUGGCUUUCUCACCUGUAACAGACUCCUUCCCAGCAUUCGGUGACCCGCGUGCAGAGCAGCGUGCAGAGCCCCCGCCUCAAGGGCGGUGCCGGGAGGCAAAACACCGGGUUCCAAAAUGCAUGCAGAGGCAUCUGACUCGAACCGGCACGAGGGCCUGUGAGCUGAGAGCAGCAGGGAGGGCAGCGCUGGCACUACAUACACCUGGGACUGCGGGAGGGAACGGGCUCCUGCCGCUCCGCCCCGCAGCGACACAGGCUGGCGGCACCGACAGCCACCGCGCAGCUGUGGCCGAUGCACGCAGAGCUAAGCAAAGGCUGUUUUAAAAAGAAAACAGCUGUAAUAUUUUAGUACGUUAAUCUUAACUGCAUGUUGUAAGAAAACUUAAAAAUAAAGACCUUAAAAAUAAAUUAUCCGCCACCUUUAGAAAGGAAGGGGUGACUGGCAAACAGCGUACGGCUGCUUCGAAGCCCAGUGCUGUGCCUGGCUGAUGAACACAGCACGGUCCUGGUGACAGGUAAGGGACCAACGUCCCCAUGAGCAAGCGGGGAGCCGGGUACAAAUCAGAGUGCAGGGCGGCUGCCCCUUGUGCCUUCUCUGGGAAAGCCGGGGAGCAGGUUGAAGACCGGAUCACUGCUUUAUAUUUAAUUGACUUCGCACCCACACGAGACUUCGCCACGUACAAAGCAGUAACUUAUGUGUGUAAAAGCGCGAGGGUGAGUCACUGCAUUCAUCUGGAGGUGCUGUUUAAAUAGAGCCUGUGCCAGGAGCUGCCGCUUGGCAUGUCAGAGGAACUGCUGCCGUGUUUGAGGUUACACUUCGAUUCUUACACAGAAGGGAUCGCCCACCUCCCCUUUUUGUAACGUGGUGCUGCUGCAUCCUCACACCGGGCAAGACAAGUUCUCAGGACUUCCACAGAACACACCAGCUUGUGUCCGUGUUCACUUCCCCGGGGCUCGGCCUCCUACACUGGAAAACCACUCAGCACCGUGUCAGAAUUGUCCCUCGUCCCUCUUAUCCACACGUGAUGCUGCUUCAGCUUUCACAGAAACACCGUAAAACCCAAGAAAUAACUGUCAGCAGAACAUACCUACCAGUGUUUUAACAAGUGACAUUUUAAUUUGCUCAGAAACAAAAGAGGAUUGAGGGAAGAGAAAGGAAAGUUACGCGUAAGCUGCUAAAUCACGGGUGUUAAACAUGCAGAAGUUGGUAUGAAGAGCUCAGCAGACACACUGGUUAACAUGCCGGACGUCUCUAACAAAUCACUGCUGCCUAGCUUUGUUUAUUGGUCAAUCACUUCAGUAAUCCGAAUUCACAAAUAAGCAGUAAAUAACAAAAACUACAGAUAAACACGGGCUACACAUGCAAAU